rnacentral:rRNA from 1 species
GAUGAACGCUGGCGGCGUGCCUAAUACAUGCAAGUCGAGCGAACAGACGAGGAGCUUGCUCCUCUGACGUUAGCGGCGGACGGGUGAGUAACACGUGAAUAACCUACCUAUAAGACUGGGAUAACUUCGGGAAACCGGAACUAAUACCGGAUAAUAUAUUGAACCGCAUGGUUCAAUAGUGAAAGACGGUUUUGCUGUCACUUAUAGAUGGAUCCGCGCCGCAUUAGCUAGUUGGUAAGGUAACGGCUUACCAAGGCAACGAUGCGUAGCCGACCUGAGAGGGUGAUCGGCCACACUGGAACUGAGACACGGUCCAGACUCCUACGGGAGGCAGCAGUAGGGAAUCUUCCGCAAUGGGCGAAAGCCUGACGGAGCAACGCCGCGUGAGUGAUGAAGGUCUUCGGAUCGUAAAACUCUGUUAUUAGGGAAGAACAAAUGUGUAAGUAACUAUGCACGUCUUGACGGUACCUAAUCAGAAAGCCACGGCUAACUACGUG